UAACACGUAGGGGCCGAGCGUUGUCCGGAGUUACUGGGCGUAAAGGGCGCGCAGGCGGUCGUUCGCAUCACCGGUGAAAGCCCCGGGCUUAACCCGGGAGGGUCCGGUGAGAUGGGGCGACUGGAGGCAGGGCGAGGCCGGUGGAAUUCCGGGUGUAGUGGUGAAAUGCGUAGAGAUCCGGAGGAACACCAGUGGCGAAGGCGGCCGGCUGGACCUGACCUGACGCUGAGGCGCGAAGGCGUGGGGAGCGAACGGGAUUAGAUACCCCGGUAGUCCACGCAGUAAACGAUGGGCACUGGGUGUGGCGGGAGUUGACCCCUGCCGUGCCGGAGUUAACACGGUAAGUGCCCCGCCUGGGGAGUACGGCCGCAAGGCUA
rnacentral:rRNA from 1 species